GGAUUAGAUACCCUGGUAGUCCACGCUGUAAACGAUGUCUGCUAGCCGUUGGAGUCCUUAGAGACUUUAGUGGCGCAGUUAACGCGAUAAGCAGACCGCCUGGGGAGUACGGCCGCAAGGUUAAAACUCAAAUGAAUUGACGGGGGCCCGCACAAGCGGUGGAGCAUGUGGUUUAAUUCGAAGCAACGCGAAGAACCUUACCAGGGCUUGACAUCCUCAGAACUUUCCAGAGAUGGAUUGGUGCCUUCGGGAACUGAGUGACAGGUGCUGCAUGGCUGUCGUCAGCUCGUGCCG
rnacentral:rRNA from 1 species